UACAGAGGUCUCAAGCGUUGUUCGGAUUCAUUGGGCGUAAAGGGUGCGUAGGUGGCGCCGUAAGUCGGGUGUGAAAUUUCGGAGCUUAACUCCGAAACUGCAUUCGAUACUGCGGUGCUUGAGGACUGGAGAGGAGGCUGGAAUUCAUGGUGUAGCAGUGAAAUGCGUAGAGAUCAUGAGGAAGACCAGUGGCGAAGGCGGGUCUCUGGACAGUUCCUGACACUGAGGCACGAAGGCCAGGGGAGCAAACGGG
rnacentral:rRNA from 1 species